rnacentral:rRNA from 1 species
AACGUAGGAGACAAACGUUAUCCGGAGUUACUGGGCGUAAAGGGCGUGUAGGCGGUCUGUUAAGUCUGGCGUGAAAGCUCUCGGCUAAACCGGGAGAGGUCGUUGGAUACUGGCAGACUAGAGGACGGUAGAGGCGUGUGGAAUUCCGGGUGUAGUGGUGAAAUGCGUAGAGAUCCGGAGGAACACCAGUGGCGAAGGCGACUACCUGGCCUGUUCUUGACGCUGAGGCGCGAAAGCUGGGGGAGCAAACGGG